UAGCGCAGCUAACGCGUGAAGUUGACCGCCUGGGGAGUACGGUCGCAAGAUCAAAACUCAAAGGAAUUGACGGGGACCCGCACAAGCGGUGGAUGAUGUGGAUUAAUUCGAUGCAACGCGAAAAACCUUACCUACCCUUGACAUGUCUGGAAUCCCGAAGAGAUUUGGGAGUGCUCGCAAGAGAACCGGAACACAGGUGCUGCAUGGCUGUCGUCAGCUCGUGUCGUGAGAUGUUGGGUUAAGUCCCGCAACGAGCGCAACCCUUGUUAUUAGUUGCUACGAAAGGGCACUCUAAUGAGACUGCCGGUGACAAACCGGAGGAAGGUGGGGAUGACGUCAAGUCCUCAUGGCCCUUAUGGGUAGGGCUUCACACGUCAUACAAUGGUCGGGACAGAGGGUAGCCAAACCGCAAGGUGGAGCCAAUCUCACAAACCCGAUCGUAGUCCGGAUUGCAGUCUGCAACUCGACUGCAUGAAGUCGGAAUCGCUAGUAAUCGCGGAUCAGAAUGUCGCGGUGAAUACGUUCCCGGGUCUUGUACACACCGCCCGUCACACCAUGGGAGUGGGUUUCACCAGAAGUAGUUAGCCUAACCGCAAGGGGGGCGAUUACCACGGUGGGAUUCAUGACUGGGGUGAAGUCGUAACAAGGUAACCAAGGGCGAA
rnacentral:rRNA from 1 species